rnacentral:tRNA from 1 species
GCCUACGUAGCUCAACUGGAUAGAGCAGAGAGCUUCUACCUCUCAGGUUCGGGGUUCGAGUCCUCGCGUGGGCGCCA